CAGGACUCUGUGUGUCUUGGUAUUUUGGCUCAUUGGCUCCUGCUUGUGUUACUUAUCAGACAGGCUCUUUCCAUAGGAUAGCAGGAUGAUUAUGUCAGCCUUAGACCUUUAUCAUCCUAAGGGUGUAAGAGCCCAGAUUAAAGGGAGCAUCCUUCAUGAGAGCUCUGCCCAGAAUUCAUAGGGAGGAUUCUGAUUGGCUGGAGCAGUGGGAGGGACAGAAUUAUCCCAUCAGAAUCCAGGGACAGAGGACAGGUUUUUUUUGUGGGUGGCAGUACUCUAAAUAAAGUGACACUGAACAGACAGCCCUAUACCCCUUAGAGGGGGGGAACUGGAGGUUUGCUCUGAGUAGCUGCUUAAUCUGACUGUGGGGAAAUCUUUCUUAUUAAGUUCAGGAUCUUCUUAGAGAGUUGUAAGCAUCAGGGACUGGCAAACUUUUCCUGUAAAGGGUGGGACAGUCAAUAUUUUAGGUUCAUGGAACAUGUGAUCUCUGUCACAGUUACUCAACUCCACUGUUGUAUCAACAAAGUAACCACACACAAUAUGAAUUCAAGUGAGCAUAGCGGAAACUCUGUUUACAAACACAGCUGGUAAGUUAGAUUUGCUCCCUGGGCAGUAGUUUGUUGACCCCUGUUCUGGAUAAGUGACCUUGGAAAGUUGGGUGUAUGGUCAGACCAUUGCAGAGAGUUCAAACAGGACAAGUUUAGGGGAGUACACAAAGGAGGAAAAAGAAAGUACAGUGACACUACAUGGAUAUGUAGAGUUCACAGAAAGAGACCAAGGAGCUAUCCUGGACCAUAUAUUACAGUAUUCUGGACAUGAUGGCCACUUCUUGAACAAAUCCAGAGAACAUCCUCUGAUAUACCUACAUGUGUUGAAAACAGGUUCAGCACUCCGCUUCAAUUCCCCAGCAAAUGCCAGUAUGGAAAAAGGUUUUGUUGUCACAGCAUCCUGAUGCACCGUACAAUUGAUGGCCUUCUGCAAUCAGUAUGGGCCAGAAGCAGCCCGCACAUAGUUGUCUUUGCCUCCGCAUACCCAGCCUUGGUCAUUGCUGGUGAAGUUUGCAUUUCGCCUGAGCUACGUGCAUUGUUGGGACUAUGUGUGAGCCCAGAAAAUCAUGAAAAUAGAGCUGGAAAUUUGCUCUUAGAGAAAUGAUCACACUUCUUCUUGCAAAGCAACCCCCAAGGGCUUCAUGGACCUAAGGAAAGAAAACUCCCCUACAGCCAUCCUAAUGGGUACGAGCAUGACCUCAUCCUAACUAAUUGCAUUUGCGAAGAUCCUAUUUGCAAGCAAGGUCACGUUCUGAGGUUCCAGGAAGGACAAGGAUCUGAAGAUCAGUCUCAGAAUGGGGUCCGUCCAACACAUCUGUGACUCUAAGUAGCCCAGAGAAAUAAGGUAAGACUUUACUCGAUGUCUCUGAAGGGUAUUGUGAUGGGGGAAAAUUGAAGCAGGUACAAUGAGAACUCCAAGGAAAGUUUGAGCAUUGUAAAAUGGAUUUUGGAUGUUUUGUUGUGUUUUCAUGAUUAAUAUUUCCUUCCCAGUCUCUACAGAUGAUAAUAGGAUAACAACCCUUCUCGUUUGUCGUCUGUGCUAACUGUCCUUCAACAUUCCUUCUCCCCUAAUUCGAUACCCAUGGGAUUAUCAGUUUGGCUAUGGCAGUUCUUCUAAAGACGACAUUUCCCAGACUCCCUUGCAUUUGAUGUAGCACUGUGACCACAUUCUCGCCAAUGGGGCGUGUCUGAAAGUGAUGCACAUAACUUGCAGAUUGUGGCCCUAAAGAGAGUGUUUCCUUUUCUUUCCCCAUCCGUCUUAACUAGAAUAUACUAGAAUGUGGGAACUAGAAUUGUCUUCUUGGACAGCAAGAUGGAAGCUAUGCCUAGGACGGCAGAGCUACAGAAUAGAAGGAAGCUGGGUCCCUGGUUCUGGGAAUCCAGUUCCAGACACCCUGCCUAGGUUUCUCUGCAAGAAAAUUAUACUUCUGUCUAGUUCAAUAAAAGUUUCUCUGUUAGCGCAGCCAAAUCUAAAUCCUAACAGCACACCUUCUCACAAGUUUAUACUCAGUCCUCGUUGGCCUUAUGUUCACUCUGUUCUGUGAUCCACUGACCCGGCAUCUUGGUGAAUGCCUUAUCAUACAAAGGAGGCUGACCUCCAUCCCUGCUGCCACAUCCUCGGCCCAAGCCCGUAUGCUCCCA